UAGCCUGGAAUACAAUGAGAAAUCCUGUCUCAAAAAUGCUGUGUUAGUCUAGACUGUCAACCACACUCCUCAUCUAACUCACUGUGACUAGGAAAGUAAGCCCAAGAAAGGAAUGAAAGGAGGAAGUUGCUGGUAGCAACAGAGGUGAGGUAUGACACUUGCAAGCAUCAUAUGGAGAAAAAGACCUAUGCUCCAGUGGGAAAAACAGGCUGGAACUGCAAUUUGUCUCCAUAGGAGGAAACAAGAGCAAGAAGAGAUUCUAAGAACUGAAGAGAAUUCACAAAAAAACCUGUUGACUGACUGAGCAGGCUUGGUCCCCCCAAUCUCUGCUUCAGCUCACCCACCAUUGCUCUCUCAUCAGGACCCACCACACUUUUGCCCCAGCAGGGUCCCACUUCAUCAAACCAACUGCUUCCAAACAAUCAGCUCACAUAAUAAAUCUAAAUCAUAUAGAGGGCCCUUACCUUUGUGGAGAAGAAAAAGGUUGCUUCUUUAAGGCCUGCAUAAGAUUGGGCUUAUAUUCUGGAUCAACACACCAUAAGGAGCCUUUUCCAUUAACCUAGAAAAAAGUUGUACAAGAAUUAGUAGCUUGGAACUAACUAUCUAUGAUCCGACUGCCCUGAGAAGUGUAUGAGGGAACCUCCCUCCCACUUGCUGAGUCCAAGCCAAAGCUGAAGUGAAGGCUGGGAAUGGAGCCCAGUGGGAGAGUGCCUGCCUAGCAUGGAUCUGCCUCAAUGCUCACACCAGCUUCAACAAAUCACCUAGAAAGUAGAAGUGAGCCUGCUAUAUAUGAUUGGUUGUAGUCACCAUGAAUUAAUAAAACUUGCUCUAACCCAAAA